rnacentral:misc_RNA from 1 species
AUGGGAUGGUUGAGGCCGGGGCCACGCCCCCUCUGCCCCCCUGCGAGGGCAUCCUGGGCUUUCUCCCACCGCUUUCCGAGCCCGCUUGCACCUCGGCGAUCCCCGACUCCCUUCUUUAUGGCGUCGCUCCUGUGCUGUGGGCCGAAGCUGGCCGCCUGCGGCAUCGUCCUCAGCGCCUGGGGAGUGAUCAUUAAUCCACCCACCGCCACUUCAAGAAGAAAUGAUAUGAAGAAGUGCCGGUUCUCCCUCCCCUCUUCCGCACUGUCCCGUGAUGAUGACGCCUCCAGAGAGGACGAUAAUCUGGGUUCCUGGGAGAGAUGGCUUGGUCACUAUUCCCACCCUUGCCUCGACCACUUGUCUCAAUGUCACCACCUCACGCCCUGUUCCAGGUGGCUGAGUCCGAAUCCAGUAACCACCACCUCGUUUUGGUUAAUCUCAGGCUCGGGUGUUGUAGCAACAUUGGAAAUGGGAGGGGUUUACGAAGUGAACAUGAGGUCAGGUGCCUGAAUUCAACAGUCUACCCAUUCCCCUUUUCCAGAUAAUGCUCGGAAUAUUUUUCAAUGUCCAUUCCGCUGUGUUGAUUGAGGACGUUCCCUUCACGGAGAAAGAUUUUGAGAAUGGCCCCCAGAACAUAUACAACCUUUACGAGCAAGUCAGCUACAACUGUUUCAUCGCUGCAGGCCUUUACCUCCUCCUCGGAGGCUUCUCUUUCUGCCAAGUUCGGCUCAAUAAGCGCAAGGAAUACAUGGUGCGCUAGGGCCCCGGCGCGUUUCCCCGCUCCAGCCCCUCCUCUAUUUAAAGACUCCCUGCACCGUGUCACCCAGGUCGCGUCCCACCCUUGCCGGCGCCCUCUGCGGGACUGGGUUUCCCGGGCGAGAGACUGAAUCCCUUCUCCCAUCUCUGGCAUCCGGCCCCCGUGGAGAGGGCUGAGGCUGGGGGGCUGUUCCGUUUCUCCACCCUUCGCUGUGUCCCGUAUCUCAAUAAAGAGAAUCUGCUCUCUUCAG